UACGGUGGGGGCAAGCGUUGUUCGGAAUUACUGGGCGUAAAGGGCUCGUAGGCGGCCAACUAAGUCAGACGUGAAAUCCCUCGGCUUAACCGGGGAACUGCAUCUGAUACUGGAUGGCUUGAGUUCGGGAGAGGGAUGCGGAAUUCCAGGUGUAGCGGUGAAAUGCGUAGAUAUCUGGAGGAACACCGGUGGCGAAGGCGGCAUCCUGGACCGACACUGACGCUGAGGAGCGAAAGCCAGGGGAGCAAACAGG
rnacentral:rRNA from 1 species